rnacentral:lncRNA from 13 species
GAAUGAAUACCGGUCAAAGGGCGACUGUCUAUCAGCUGUGUUGAUGUUGAACCUUAACCGUGUCAAAUUUGCGCGGAGCACGACACGUAGAGUAGAGCAUAGGUACCACUGUGAAAGUAUUAUACUGAUUUAGAGAGAAAGAAUUACGAAAUUAGUGUGUUCUCAAAUGCGUCCACAUCGCGCGAUGGCUUGGUACCGACUCAAUAAAGAGCGUCGCUGCUGUACAGGCGCCGCGCGACGUCAGUAAACAGACGCUGACAUAAACAAAGUCGCAGACGUGUAACGAAAAUUCAAAACUGAUAUGAAUUACAAUGUCGUGUAAGCAAAAUAAAUAUUAAAUAAAAGCU